rnacentral:rRNA from 1 species
AUUGAACGCUGGCGGCAGGCCUAACACAUGCAAGUCGAGCGAGCGCCGGACGGGUGAGUAAUGUAUGGGGACUGCCCGAUAGAGGGGGAUAACUACUGGAAACGGUAGCUAAUAAAGCAUACUAUAGGAUAAACCAUAUGGGAUGAGCUAGUAGGUGGGGUAAUGGCGCACUUAGCGGACGAUCCCUCGCUGGUCUGAGAGGAGGAUCAGCCACACGGGGACUGGGACACGGCCCAGACCCCUACGGAGGCAGCAGUGGGGAAUAUUGCACAAUGGGCGCAAGCCUGAUGCAGCCAUGCCGCGUGUAUGAAGAAGGCCCUAGGGUUGUAAAGUACUUUCAGUCGGGAGGCGUUACCGACAGAAGAAGCACCGGCUAACUCCGUGCCAGCAGCCGCGGUAAUAC